GAUUGUUGAUCCUGGCUCAGGAUGAACGCUAGCGGCAGGCGUAACACAUUCAAGUCGAGGGGUAGAACACUUCGGUGUUUGAGACCGGCGCACGGGUGCGUAACGCGUAUGCAAUCUACCGUUGUACAGGGGAAUAGCCCAGAGAAAUUUGGAUUAAUGCCCCAUAGUAUAUAACCUUCGCAUGUUGGUUAUAUUAAAGUUCCAACGGUACAAGAUGAGCAUGCGUCCCAUUAGUUAGUUGGUAAGGUAACGGCUUACCAAGACGAUGAUGGGUAGGGGUCCUGAGAGGGAGAUCCCCCACACUGGUAUUGAGACACGGACCAGACUCCUACGGGAGGCAGCAGUGAGGAAUAUUGGUCAAUGGUCGCAAGACUGAACCAGCCAUGCCGCGUGCAGGAAGACGGUCCUAUGGAUUGUAAACUGCUUUUAUACAGGAAGAAACCCUCCCACGUGUGGGAGCUUGACGGUACUGUAGGAAUAAGGAUCGGCUAACUCCGUGCCAGCAGCCGCGGUAAUACGGAGGAUCCAAGCGUUAUCCGGAAUCAUUGGGUUUAAAGGGUCCGUAGGCGGUCUUAUAAGUCAGUGGUGAAAGCCCAUCGCUCAACGAUGGAACUGCCAUUGAUACUGUAAGACUUGAAUGCUUAGGAAGUAACUAGAAUAUGUAGUGUAGCGGUGAAAUGCUUAGAUAUUACAUGGAAUACCAAUUGCGAAGGCAGGUUACUACUAAGUGAUUGACGCUGAUGGACGAAAGCGUGGGGAGCGAACAGGAUUAGAUACCCUGGUAGUCCACGCCGUAAACGAUGGAUACUAGCUGUUCGGAGCAAUCUGAGUGGCUAAGCGAAAGUGAUAAGUUCCCAC
rnacentral:rRNA from 1 species